UACGUAGGCAGCGAGCGUUGUUCGGAGUUACUGGGCGUAAAGGGUGUGUAGGCGGUUGUUUAAGUUUGGUGUGAAAUCUCCCGGCUCAACUGGGAGGGUGCGCCGAAUACUGAAUGACUAGAGUGCGGGAGAGGAAAGUGGAAUUCCUGGUGUAGCGGUGAAAUGCGUAGAUAUCAAGAGGAACACCUGUGGUGUAGACAGCUUACUGGACCACUUCUGACGCUGAGACACGAAAGCGUGGGUAGCAAACAGG
rnacentral:rRNA from 1 species